CUACGGGGGGCUCCAGUGAGGAAUUUUGCGCAAUGGGGGGAACCCUGACGCAGCAACGCCGCGUGAGUGAAGAAGGCCUUUGGGUCGUAAAGCUCUGUCAACUGGGAAGAAAUUAGAGUUGUUUAACAGAUGAUUCUAUUGACGGUACCAGUGGAGGAAGCGCCGGCUAACUCCGUGCCAGCAGCCGCGGUAACACGGGGGGCGCAAGCGUUAUUCGGAAUUAUUGGGCGUAAAGGGCGCGCAGGCGGUCUUGUCGGUCAGGUGUGAAAGCCCGGGGCUCAACCCUGGAAGUGCACUUGAAACAGCAAGACUUGAGUACGGGAGAGGAAAGCGGAAUUCCUGGUGUAGAGGUGAAAUUCGUAGAUAUCAGGAGGAACACCGAUGGCGAAGGCAGCUUUCUGGACCGAUACUGACGCUGAGGCGCGAAGGCGUGGGUAGCGAACGGGAUUAGAUACCCUGGUAGUC
rnacentral:rRNA from 1 species